rnacentral:rRNA from 1 species
UACGUAGGUGGCGAGCGUUGUCCGGAUUUAUUGGGCGUAAAGGGCGCGCAGGUGGUGUGGUGGGUCCGUCGUGAAAUCUCCUGGCUCAACUGGGAGGGUGCGGCGGAGACUGCCAGACUGGAGGCACUCAGAGGCCGGUGGAAUUCCCGGUGUAGUGGUGAAAUGCGUAGAGAUCGGGAGGAACACCAGUGGCGAAGGCGGCCGGCUGGGGGUGACCUGACGCUGAGGGGCGAAAGCGUGGGGAGCAAACAGG